rnacentral:rRNA from 1 species
GAUUAACGCUGGCGGCGUGCCUAACACAUGCAAGUCGAGCGGCAGCGAGUUUUACACUGAAUUCUGGAAGCUUCUAGUUGAAAGAGAAGAUUUAUUCAAGAAUUUUGUGUAAAAUGUCGUCGAGCUGCGGACGGCUGAGUAACGCGGGGGAACGUACCCUGAAGCGUGGGAUAACGCAUCGAAAGGUGUGCUAAUACCUCAUAUGGUCAUCGGAUUAAAGCCUUCGGGCGCUUUGGGAACGGCCUGCGUAAGAUUAGAUAGCUGGUGGGGUAAUGGCCUACCAAGUCGACGAUCUUUAACUGGUUUGAGAGGAUGAUCAGUCAGACUGGAACUGAGACACGGUCCAGACUCCUACGGGAGGCAGCAGUGAGGAAUCUUCCACAAUGGGCGAAAGCCUGAUGGAGCAACGUCGCGUGCAGGAUGAAGGACUUAGGGUUGUAAACUGCUUUUAUAAGUGAGGAUUAUGACAGUAACUUAUGAAUAAGGAUCGGCUAACUACGUG